rnacentral:rRNA from 1 species
UGGGGAAUUUUGGGCAAUGGGGGAAACCCUGACCCAGCAACGCCGCGUGAAGGAUGAAGUAUUUCGGUAUGUAAACUUCGAAAGAAUAGGAAGAAUAAAUGACGGUACUAUUUAUAAGGUCCGGCUAACUACGUGCCAGCAGCCGCGGUAAUACGUAGGGACCAAGCGUUGUUCGGAUUUACUGGGCGUAAAGGGCGCGUAGGCGGCAUGACAAGUCACUUGUGAAAUCUCCGAGCUUAACUCGGAACGGUCAAGUGAUACUGCUGUGCUAGAGUACAGAAGGGGCAAUCGGAAUUCUUGGUGUAGCGGUGAAAUGCGUAGAUAUCAAGAGGAACACCUGAGGUGAAGACGGGUUGCUGGGCUGAUACUGACGCUCACACACGAAAGCUAGGGUAGCGAAGAGGAUUAGAUACCCAAGUAGUCCCUGAGCGGGCUGGCAAGGCGCAU